rnacentral:lncRNA from 12 species
CUUACACGUUUGCUGGUAAUCAGUCUCCGUAACAGAGAAUCUUUACUCUGAAAUAAAGCAGCUGAGUUCUGUUGUGGGGAUGUGAAAAGCCGGGGGGGGGUGAUGAGACACGGGGUGAGCUGCUCUGGAUGUUUGUCACUGAGCUCACCGUGGUGGGAUCCCAGGCAGCGUGGGUGUGACAGAAAAGCUUGGAUGUCGCUUUACAGAAUCCAUCGGAGAUUUCCUGGACAACAAACACAAGUAGUGGAUACAUAAUGUAUUUGAAGACCUAUAAAAGUUUCAUCCUUGAGGGCCCGCUGGGAGGAGGAUGCUCGACUGUAACUUUUAAUUGUGGAGCUGAGAAAUAAAAUACAGAUAAGGGAUAGUUACUGUAACUGGCAGCAGACCAGAGUAAAUGUUGGAUGCAGCUAUCCGUAUCCAUGAAUACAUGAGUAACUUUAUGCUCUUGCGUUGUGUAAUUGGAUUCUGUGGGACUGUGAAUUUGGGUAAACUUACUCAUGCGCGGGCGUUGUCUGAGGACUGAGGAAAGCGAGCGCUUUCUCUGUGGCGCAGAGGAGCAGUUUCAGGGUGAUUUUGGAUAACUGAUGUCCG